UUUAAAUCUCCAAAAAAGUAGAUUUAAAAUAAAUCUCCUCAUAAUCUACUUGGCUGAAUGAUUCCAUGCUCUUAUAAUGAAGGGAACAUGCCUAAUUUUGUGAACGCACUCAUUUUCAAAUGUCAUUUUUUUUUUGUUUUUUGACAAUCGAAACUGAAUUAAAAUUUAUAAAACACAGCCGGACGGAAAGAUUGUUAAUAAAUAUUGAUGCUGAAAGAGAAACAAAACAGAAAGUCGUAGCGGCAAAAUGAAGAAGAACUUUUGGUGGAAAUUUGGGCCGAUAAAAUUAGCCAGCUUCGUGGGCUGAAAAAAAAAUGUACAACUGCAUUGCAAUGAAAAGUUUUAAAAAGUAUUGUGAAAUAUUUUAAUUUUGAUGAAUUUGUGAUUUGUAAAAUGUCAUACACCAACGUCAAAAUAAAUCUUGGAAAUGUCAAAAUAAA